AGCGAACGCUGGCGGUAGGCCUAACACAUGCAAGUCGAACGGCAGCACAGUAAGAGCUUGCUCUUACGGGUGGCGAGUGGCGGACGAGUGAGGAAUACAUCGGAAUCUACUUUUUCGUGGGGGCUAACGAAGGGAAACUUACGCUAAUACAGCAUACGACCUACGGGGGAAAGCAGGGGAUCUUCGGACCUUGCGCGAUUGAAUGAGCCGAUGUCAGAUUAGCUAGUUGGCGGGGUAAAGGCCCACCUAGGCGCCGAUCCGUAGCUGGUCUGAGAGGAAGAUUGACCACAUGGGAAGUGAGACAGGGUCCAGACUCCUGCGGGAGGAAGCAGUCGGGAAUAUUGGGCAAUGGGGGAGAGCCUGAUCCAGCCAUACCGCGUGGGUGAAGAAGGCGUUCGGGUUGGAAAGCCCUUUUGUUGGGAGAGAAAAGCAGCAGUUUAAUACGCCGCUGUUCUGACGGUACCCAAAGAAGAAGCACCGGCUAACUUCGUG
rnacentral:rRNA from 1 species